rnacentral:tRNA from 1 species
GAGGGUGUAGCUCAGUGGUAGAGUGCGAGAUCCUGGGUUCGAUCCCCAGUACCUCCA